GGCGCCACCAAGGGGAGCCCCGGCAAGGGGCUGAGAAACCGCUGGCCUCGAUCGUCCCGGCGACGGGCGGCGCGGUGACCCUUUGAACCUGACCCGGAUCAUGCCGGCGGAGGAAUGGGACAGAUGCACCUG
rnacentral:ncRNA from 2 species